GUAUUUUCUGUUUUUCAGGCACUUUCAGUCAACUAGAAUCUCGUCAAAAGUAAAAUCGAGAUGGCACGGACGUCUGGGUGUGCUCUAGGAGAGAUUACCAACUGUGCUGGCGCAUCACUUGUCACAAAGAGGAGGGAACAAGGCAAAGCUGCUAAACUGGUCCAGCAGCUGCCUUUGGUCAAGGGCCAAGAAGCAGCAAGCCCAUUUUCUCUGCUGUCAGAGGCAUCAGCUGAUAGGUCCAUGAAGGAGUACGAGGAGGUGCAACUGUGCCAGGUUUUCGCCAAUGCACAGCUCUCAGUCAAGGAUGUAGAUGAGGAAUAUGAUGACAUGCCCCUGCUGUGCUCGGGAUUUGUGAAGGACAUCUACAGAUAUCUGCACCAAUUGGAGGUAGAGCAGCCCAUACGUGCCAAUUAUAUGCAGGGUUAUGAAAUCAAUGCCCGUAUGCGAGCGCUUCUCAUCGAUUGGAUAGUCCAGGUUCAUUCCAUGUUCAAUCUGCUGCAAGAAACCUUGUAUCUCUCUGUUGCCGUCCUUGACCGGUUUCUCCAGGUCCAGCCAGUUUCUCGUCAAAAGCUGCAACUUGUCGGUGUGACUGCAAUGCUGGUUGCCUCAAAGUAUGAGUUGUAUCCUCCGAUCGUGGGAGACUUUGCCUACAUCACGGACAGCGCGUUCACCAAUGCUCAGAUUUUGGAGAUGGAGCAAGUGGUUCUGAAGACCCUUAACUUUCAGCUCGGUCGUCCUCUUCCAUUACACUUCCUCAGGAGAGCUUCAAAACUGGCUAAUUGUGACACGGAAAGGCACAUGCUGGCCAAGUAUCUGAUGGAGCUGACCCUCAUUGAUUACGAAAUGGUGCAUUAUCGCCCAUCUGAAAUUGCUGCUGCGGCUCUGUGCCUCUCUCAGCUGCUGCUGAACGGACUGCCUUGGUCACCCACACAAGAACACUACUCGACGUAUGACGAGGCCCACCUGAAGCCCAUCAUGCAGCACAUGGCCAAAAAUGUUGUGAAGGUAAAUGGCGGCAAAACUAAGUUCCAGGCUGUCAGGAGCAAGUAUUCAAACAGUAAGUUCAUGAAGAUCAGCCUCAUUCCGCAGCUUAAGUCAUCACUAAUCAGCAACAUGGCUCGACACACACUGACCGAUGUGGCCGAAAGCUGUCUCACAACAUGCGGGGUUAGUAGAGUAGUUUUUAACAGCCGACCAGAGGCGGCUGGACAACUGGCACCACCACCGGCAAUAAAUAAGGGCUGUGCAAACAAAUUGGAGCAAAACUGCAGAGUCAAGGCAAGUUGAAAUGUUGGGGUGCAGGUUGUUCCCUCCUGGUUCCGCUGCCUUUGCUGUCAUCCACAGGUAAGGUCUUAAUGAAAACUAACAAAGUAGCAACUAAAACUAAAAUUGGACAGCUUUUCUGUUGAUGAAAUAAAAGUGAGAAUGUUUUCAAAAUAAGGAAAACUAAACAAAACUACUUUUUGCGUUUACAAAACCAACAAAAUGACUAUAAGUAAACUGUCCUUCGUUUUUCAUUGUUUCAUACACGAGUCUUAGGGGUUAGUCUUAUAUGUAAUUAUUUUGGUGUCAUAAGACAACAGUGUCGCUUAGUUGGGAAAAGUGAAGCCACCGGUGGCCAUCUUACGGAGCUAUUAGUGAACCCUGCCUAAUUUGCAUACCUUGAUUCUACUGUGGCGUUUUCACAUUUACACAGCAAAAUGGUCAACGAUACAUUCCACAAAUAUGGCCGACAUGCAUGUUUAUCUCGCUUAAUCUAUGAAAAUAUACUUAUUGCCCUGUUUAAAGCUGUCAAAAGUACACCUCGUGGAGGAAAUCUAUUUAGUAACAUGUACGAAAAGUGGUGAAAGUUCAUCAUGACUGCAGAACUUUUGCUUGUGUUCUUGGUGUUGGAUUUUGUCGAUUAAAUUUCCCCCAAAAUGCGACUUAUACUCCGGAGCGACUUAUAUAUGUUUUUUUUUUCACGUUAUUGUACAUUUCAUGGCUAAUGCGACCUAUUUCCGGAGCGACUUUUAGUCCGAAAAAUACGGUAUUCGUGAACCCUGCCCAAUUUGCAUACCUUGAUUCUACUGUGGCGUUUUCACAUUUACACAGCAACAUGGUCGACGAUACAUUCCACAAAUAUGGCUGACAUGCAUGUUUAUCUCACUUAAUCUGUAAAGAAAAAUACUUAUUGGCCUGUUUAAAGCUGUCAAAAGUACAUCUCGUGGAGGAAAUCUAUUUCGUAACAUGUAUGAAAAGUGGGGAAAGUUCAUGAUGACUGCAGAACAUUUGCUUGUGUUUUUCCAGCCAAGAGACCAAGUUUGACUAGUGAUGAGCUUCAAGAGUUUAAGCAGCAGGCGGCAUGUCUGAACUUAAACGUACCCACCAUCCUGGGCACAACCGGAAGUUGUCCAGAUUCACCAGACACAAAGAUCGUUGAUGUCAGCAUGGGGUUCAUUCAAAGCACACCAAGAUUCAAGCAAAUAUUUUAUCUCAUUUAAUUGUAUACCCUAUAUAAUCUCAGCUCGGCCCAAGUGAGCCAAUCAAUCAGGAGGACGUGUUUUUCCGGUAAUGUAUUACUGUAGAGAGAAUAUUGUGACUCACAAUUUGUGAGGAAUGAAGUUUCCAACUGAUCAAGCGUCACCCAAGAUAGCAUUUUACUGCGAAUGCAACCACCGUCGGUCACCAGAUUGCAUAGCAAUAUGUAAACUUUUUUGAAGUGCUCCUCGUCUUGUUUGCUUGAAGCAAACUGAAGGCACUCCCUCCACCCCCAGAAUACAAAAAAUCUGUCCUUUUUGAAAACCUUCUCAUCCUUCGUCCGCAAAUCUACGGGUGGAAAAUAGACGGUAAAAUGAAGGGUGAAUUAAAAAUUGACAUGGAUGCAUCCAUAAAGGAA